CCUACGGGAGGCAGCAGUGAGGAAUAUUGGACAAUGGGCGCAAGCCUGAUCCAGCCAUGCCGCGUGCAGGAUGACGGUCCUAUGGAUUGUAAACUGCUUUUGCACAGGAAGAAACAACAUUACGUGUAAUGUCUUGACGGUACUGUGAGAAUAAGGAUCGGCUAACUCCGUGCCAGCAGCCGCGGUAAUACGGAGGAUCCAAGCGUUAUCCGGAAUCAUUGGGUUUAAAGGGUCCGUAGGCGGUUUAGUAAGUCAGUGGUGAAAGCCCAUCGCUCAACGGUGGAACGGCCAUUGAUACUGCUAGACUUGAAUUAUUAGGAAGUAACUAGAAUAUGUAGUGUAGCGGUGAAAUGCUUAGAGAUUACAUGGAAUACCAAUUGCGAAGGCAGGUUACUACUAAUGGAUUGACGCUGAUGGACGAAAGCGUGGGUAGCGAACAGGAUUAGAUACCCUGGUAGUCCACGCCGUAAACGAUGGAUACUAGCUGUUGGGAGCAAUUUCAGUGGCUAAGCGAAAGUGAUAAGUAUCCCACCUGGGGAGUACGUUCGCAAGAAUGAAACCUNAAAGGAUUGACGNUGAGAGAGCGAGACGACGACGAGGGAGAGG
rnacentral:rRNA from 1 species